AGCGAACGCUGGCGGCAGGCCUAACACAUGCAAGUCGAGCGGGCGUCGCAAGACGUCAGCGGCAGACGGGAGAGUAACACGUGGGAACGUACCCUUCGGUUCGGAAUAACCCAGGGAAACUUGGACUAAUACCGGAUACGUCCGUAAGGAGAAAGAUUUAUCGCCGAAGGAUCGGCCCGCGUCCGAUUAGCUAGUUGGUGGGGUAAUGGCCCACCAAGGCGACGAUCGGUAGCUGGUCUGAGAGGAUGAUCAGCCUCACUGGGACUGAGACACGGCCCAGACUCCUACGGGAGGCAGCAGUGGGGAAUAUUGGACAAUGGGCGCAAGCCUGAUCCAGCCAUGCCGCGUGGGUGAUGAAGGCCCUAGGGUUGUAAAGCCCUUUCGGCGGGGAAGAUAAUGACGGUACCCGCAGAAGAAGCCCCGGCUAACUUCGUGCCAGCCGCCGCUGUAA
rnacentral:rRNA from 1 species